UUGGCUAGAGUACUUCCGCCACCCCCGUAAACGGACCGGAAGUCACUUUCUCGCUUUGCCAUGGCACCUCCAGUCGCAGUGUCGCCGCUCAUCAAGAUUACCUAAAGCCCAUUGCUGAGGAGGAGAGGAGGGUUGAGGAAGUGGAGAAGAAGGCCAGAGAGGAGCAGGAGCGCAUCUACAAACAACUGUCUGAAGCCAAUUCUGACACCAUCCUAAAAUGAACCGUCUCUGGACCUGUGCAGUUAUGUUCCAAACUCAAUAAAAACAACCUAUUUUUCAUGUAAUAAUCAG